rnacentral:rRNA from 1 species
AGAUUGAACGCUGGCGGCAUGCCUUACACAUGCAAGUCGAACGGCAGCACGGGGGCAACCCUGGUGGCGAGUGGCGAACGGGUGAGUAAUGCAUCGGAACGUAUCUUUAAGUGGGGGGAUAACGCAUCGAAAGAUGCGCUAAUACCGCAUAAUCUCUGAGGAGAAAAGCAGGGGGAUCGCAAGACCUUGCGUCUUUUGGAGCGGCCGAUGUCUGAUUAGCUAGUUGGGUGGGGUAAAGGUCUUACCGAAGGCUUCGAGUCAGUAGCUGGUCUGAGAGGACGACCAACACACUGGGACUGAGACACGGCCCAGACUCCGUACGGGAGGCAGCGAGUGGGAAUUUUGGGACAAGUGGGACGAAAGCCGUACGACCCGAGACCGAACGCCG